rnacentral:rRNA from 1 species
UACAGAGGUCUCAAGCGUUGUUCGGAUUCAUUGGGCGUAAAGGGUGCGUAGGUGGUGGCGCAAGUCUGGUGUGAAAUCUCGGAGCUUAACUCCGAAAUGGCACCGGAUACUGCGUUACUCGAGGACUGUAGAGGAGAUCGGAAUUCACGGUGUAGCAGUGAAAUGCGUAGAUAUCGUGAGGAAGACCAGUUGCGAAGGGCGGAUUUCUGGGCAGUUCCUGACACUGAGGCACGAAGGCCAGGGGAGCGAAACGGG